rnacentral:rRNA from 1 species
GAUGAACGCUGGCGGCGUGCCUAACACAUGCAAGUCGAACGGAAAGGCCCUGCGCUUGUGGGGUUCUCGAGUGGCGAACGGGUGAGUAAAACGCGUGGAUCAUGCCCUUGUCUUUCUGAUAACAUCUCGAAAAUGCGGCUAAUAUCGGAUAUGAUCUCCUGCACCACAGGGGGCGUUGGAAAGUUUCGGCGGUUGGGGAUGGACUCGCGGCUUACGAGCUUGUUGGUGGGGUAGUGGCUGACCAAGGCUUCGACGGAUAGCCGGCCUUAGAGCGUGAACGGCCACAAUGCGCCUGCGGUACGGAGCAGACGCGAAUGGGCCGCAGCGGUCGGAAGUAUGGCACAGUGAGCGGGCGCGUGAUACGGAGGUCCCCGGUGCGGAAAGACGGCUUUCUGGUUAUGAACCGCUUUCGCCUGAGACAAAGCGGUCUUGACGGUACCGAAUAAAGAAGCACCGGCUAACUACGUG